AUGUUUUGGAUAUUAACUCUUACUAGUAUAUUAUCUGAAAAUAUCUUUUCCCAUAUAGUCAAUUGCCUUUUUGUUUUAUUGAUGGUUUCUUUCACUGUGCAAAAGCUUUUUUUUCUUAAAGAUUUUAUUUAUUCAUUCAUUUAUGAAAGACAAAUUUGGCAAUUUUUAUAUCAACUUUCUUUAGAAGCCAAGGACAUAACAUUAUAUCUUAAUUCAUUAAGGCAUUUCUGAAGGAAGCUGAGAUAAUUUGGUUUGAAUACACAGCUUCUCAAUAGCACAACCUAAUAAUGCAGGGAUAAAGUUAGAAAUUCUAAAAAUUGUGUUUAUUUAAAAAAUAUCUUAUUUUAAAAAUAUUUUAUUUUUAUUUAUUCAUGAGAGACACAGAGAGAGAGAGAGGCAGAGGGAGAAGCAGGCUCCCUGUGGGGAGCCCAAUUUGGGGCUCUAUCCCAGGACCCUGGGAUCAUGACCUGAGCCACAGGUAGAUGCUCAACCACUGAGCCACCCAGGUGCCAAAUUGUGUGUAUUUAAAAUGACCUUUAAGUUUAUUGUGGGGGCGGCUCAUUGGUUGAGCAUCUACCUCUGGCUCAAGUCAUGAUCCUGGGGUCCUGGGAUCUAGUCCCACAUUGGGCUCCUCACAGGGAGCCUGCUUCUCCCUCUGCCUAUGUCUCUGACUCUCUCUCUGUGUCUAUCAUGAAUAAAUAAAUAAAAUCUUUUAAAAAGUUUGUCAUGAAUAUUAGCUCUCUCAAAUUAUCCUUUGACAAAAUGCUAGGUUGUUAGGUUGAAUACAACCAUCAGUUGAAUUUCAUGCUACUUAUUCCUAUUGCAGAUGAAUUUAUUCUGUAUUUUCCAUGGUUAUGGCACCAGAGUUUCUCAUUGUGAGGACUAAUGUAACACAAUUCUUCUGAGGGUACUGAUUAAAAAAAUGUUUGAAUUUAAAUUUGUGAGUGAUUUUAUCUGCAGUUGAAGGUGCUGCACUGGACAAGGCUUCCUCCAGGCUAUUCAUUUCAUUUAAAUUUUUACCUCAGGUAUCAUGUUCUAGUGGAGAGAGCAUGACUUUGUGGUUCAGACUGAUUAGGGUUUUGAAUCCUGGCUCUGCCAAUUGC
rnacentral:lncRNA from 1 species